rnacentral:lncRNA from 1 species
UUAUUCCCACUUUUAGAAGAAGAUCCGAAUAUCUUUGCCUAUGCCUGUGAUUUUUCUCCAAGAGCCAUUGAAUAUGUUAAGCAAAAUCCUUUAUAUGAUACAGAAAGAUGCAAGGUAUUCCAGUGUGAUCUGACUAAAGAUGAUCUUCUGGAUCAUGUACCGCCAGAGUCUGUGGAUGUUGUUAUGUUGAUAUUUGUGCUGUCAGCUGUUCAUCCUGAUAAGAUGCACCUUGUCUUACAAAACAUUUACAAGUGCCAUGGCUGCUCUUCAGAGCUUCGCCAGCCCUGGGACAAGGAUGAUUUUGCAGUUACCUGGGAUCCAUGGAGUCCUGCUAUAAGGCUGCUUGGAGAAGGCUUGCGACAUGUGCACGAGACCCUGAAACAAGCCCUCUACUGCACAAUAUUUACCCAGCACCUGGAAGGCACAGACCUGGCCCCUGCCCUUGAAGAGCUCACAAGCCUUCUCUGGUGUCAGUGACUCCCCUAAUGAGCUUGGGUUAAUGGACAGCCUCUGACAUGCCAUGUGGAUUCCCUACUAGGAAUUGUGCUGGAAUAAGAGGGAGGGCAAGUCAGAAACUUCUUGUCCAGUUAAAAAUAAAGCAAAUUUGACAGUAUA